rnacentral:rRNA from 1 species
GAUAAACGCUGGCGGCGUGCCUCAUACAUGCAAGUCGAGCGAACGGGCGAGAAGCUUGCUUCUCUGAUGUUAGCGGCCGACGGGUGAGUAACACGUGGAUAACCUGCCUAUAACACUGGGACAACUUCGGGAAACCGGAGCUAAUACCGGAUAAUAUUUUGAACCGCAUGGAUCAAAAGUGAAAGACGGUCUUGCUGUCUCUUAUACAUGGAUCCGCGCUGCAUUAGCUAGUUGGUAAGGUAACGGCUUACCAAGGCAACGAUGCAUAGCCGACCUGAUAGGGUGAUCGGCCACCCUGGAACUGACACACGGUCCAGACUCCUACGGGAGGCAGCAGUAGGGAAUCUUCCGCAAUGGGCGAAAGCCUGACGGAUCAACGCCGCGUGAGUGAUGAAGGUCUUCGGAUCGUACCACUCUGUUAUUAGGGAAGAACGUAUGGGUCAGUAACUGGGCACAUCUUGACGGUACCUAAUCAGAAAGCCACGGCUAACUACGUGCCAGCAGCCGCGAUAAUACGUAGGUGGCAAGCGUUAUCCGGAAUUAUUGGGCGUAAAGCGCGCGUAGGCGGUUUUUUAAGUCUGAUGUGAAAGCCCACGGCUCAACCGAGGAGGGUCAUUGGAAACUGGAAAACUUGAGUGCAGAAGAGGAAAGUGGAAUUCCAUGUGUAGCGGUGAUAUGAGCUCAGAGAUAUGGAGGAACACCAGUGGCGAAGGCGACUUUAUGGUCUGUAACUGACGCUGAUGUGCGAAAGCGUGGGGAUCAAACAGGAUUAGAUACCGUGGUAGUCCACGCCGCAAACGAUGAGUGAUAAGUGUUAGGGGGUUUCCGCCCCUUAGUGAUGCAGAUAACGCAUUAAGCACUCCGCUUGGGGAGUACGACCGCAAGGUUGAAACUCAAAGGAAUUGACGGGGACCCGCACAAGCGGUGGAGCAUGUGGUUUAAUUCGAAGCAACGAGAAGAACCUUACCAAAUCUUGACAUCCUUUGACAACUCUAGAGAUAGAGCCUUCCCCUUCGGGGGACAAAGUGACAGGUGGUGCAUGGUUGUCGUCAGAUUGUGUCGUGAGAUGUUGGGUUAAGUCCCGCAACGAGCGCAUCCGUUAAGCUUAGUUUCCAUCAUUAAGUGGGGCACUAUAAGUUGACUGCCGGUGAUCAAACCGGAGGAAGGUGGGGAUGACGUCAAAUCAUCAUGCCCUUUAUGAUUUGGGCUACACACGUGUUACAAUGGACAAUACAAAGGGCAGGGAAUCCGUGAGGUCAAGCAAAUCCCAUAAAGUUGUUCUCAGUUCGGAUUGUAGUGUGCAACUCGAUUACAUGAAGCUGGAAUCGUUAGUAAUGGUAGAUCAGCAUGAUACGGAGAAUACGUUCCCGGGUCU